rnacentral:rRNA from 1 species
GUCCAGACUCCUACGGGAGGCAGCAGUGGGGAAUAUUGGGCAGUGGGCGCAAGCCUUACCCAGCAAUACCGCGUGAGUGAAGAAGGUCUUCGGAUUGUAAAGCUCUUUGAUCAGGGACGAACAGGUGACGGUACCUGAAGAACAAGCCCCAGCUAACUACGUGCCAGCAGCCGCGGUAAUACGGAGGGUGCGAGCGUUAAUCGGAAUUACUGGGCGUAAAGCGCUCGUAGGCGGUAUGUCAAGUCAAGGGUGAAAUCCCCGCGCUCAACGUGGGAACUGCCUUUGAAACUGGCAAACUGGAGUGUGUGAGAGGAUAGUGGAAUUCCAGGUGUAGGAGUGAAAUCCGUAGAUAUCUGGAGGAACAUCAGUGGCGAAGGCGACUAUCUGGCACAUAACUGACGCUAAGGAGCGAAAGCGUGGGUAGCAAACAGGAUUAGAUACCCCCGUACG